CCAAAUGGAAAUUGUUUCUUAUGGUAAAGAAAAACCAGCUGUAUUAGGGCAUGAUGAAGCGGCUUAUGCUAAAAACCGUCGUGCUGUAGUAACUUAUGCUGGAUAUUAAUA
rnacentral:other from 1 species